GCGGACGUGGCGAAACUGGUAGACGCAAGGGACUUAAAAUCCCUCGGGUGAUGCCCGUGCGGGUUCGACCCCCGCCGUCCGCACCA
rnacentral:tRNA from 1 species